GAAGGAUAUAAAGACAAUGGCCUUAUUCUUAAGAAACAGACUACUUAAAGACAAUGGUCUUUUUUCUUAAGAAACAGACUGUUGGCCAGGCGCAGUGGCUCACACCUGUAAUGCCAGCACUUUGGGAGGCUGAGGUGGGUGGAUCACGAGGUCAGGAGAUUGAGACCAUCCUGGAGAACACGGUGAAAUCCUGUCUCUACUAAAAAUACAAACAAAAUUAGCCAGGCAUGGUGGCGGGCGCCUGUAGUCCCAGCUACUCGGGAGGCUGAGGCAGGAGAAUGGCGUGAACCUGGAAGGCGGAGCUUGCAGUGAGCCAAGAUCGCACCACUGCACUCCAGCCUGGGCAACAGAGCAAGAUUCCGAUUCCAUCUCAAAAAAACAAACAAACAAACAAACAAACAAAAAAACAGACUGUUUAGUGGGAUGAACACAAUUUAUACACAGAAUGCCAUAAACAGGAUUAUACUCCACACUGUGUGCAUUAAGCAGGACAGACAUGAUGGUGGUGAUUCUCUCUUGCAAAGACCGUUUCUUCAUGGCUUUCUCAGAAUGGCUACCCAAUGUGAUACUCUGAACAAAGCAAAAACCCUCGAAUACACAGAGUUACAAAGGGUCAAGAUCUGCCAAGAUUGGCACCUAAGUAAGUAUAAGGAACUAAUUGUUGAGCAUCAGAAAGGGGCAAGUCAAUGAUCAAGGUGUUGCUAGACAGAAUGAUAUCACCUUACAUUUAUCCUCAGUACUUUACAGUUUGCAGAAUAGCUUCAUGUUCAUUGUCUAGUUUACUCUUUGCAGUAGAUCUGUGAGGUGGUUUGAGUGAUAAGAGCUUGGUGUCAGAAAUGUGCCAUACUGGUUUUGAACUGCUGAUCUUUCACUUAAUAGCUGUAUGAUUUUGAGCAAGUUGACAAACCUCUCCAAACCUCAAUACUGUAAUCACAUUUGUAAAAUGAGGUAUUAAGAGGAUCACAUGAGAUAAUGAAGGAAAGGGACUGGAAUACGGUAGGUGCACAUUAAAUGAUUGUUAUUUUGGAUGUAACUUGAAAAAAAAAAUCCUCUGAUAACUGAGAGGUUUCUUGGAUAGGAUAAAUAAUCACACUGCUGUGUGCAGUGGGAUUAGAGAAAAAUCUAUACAAACAUUUACCUAAUUUCAAAAAAAGGCAAAAGAGAAAGAGAACAAUCUUGACAUUCAAAGCUUUCGAGAAUGUGUAUAGCUAAGCAGUGUAGACACCAUGUAAGUAGCCCC
rnacentral:lncRNA from 1 species